rnacentral:lncRNA from 1 species
AGUGGAUGGGCUUGUUAAAACAGGUUUCUGGGUCUCACUCUGACAGUUUCUGAUUCUGUAAGUCUGGGACGGGGCCAGAGAGUUUGAAUUUCUACAAGUUCCCUGGUGUGAUAGGCAGCUUUCCAAAGCUAUCCCAGCAGGAACCCCAUCCCCUGGUUAGUCACUGAAACACCAUCCAGGAACUGCUGGGAAGGGACUAGCAGGUGGGGUUCAGGCUCCUAACGGACUGACUGUGAAGGAGGGAGAUGCUCCUGGCUUAUCUGGGUGGGUCCAGGGUAGUCACCUGAGCCCUAAAAGCAGAGAGAGGUCAGACAAAGGUGGAGCAUGAGGAAGGUUCCCUCUGCCCUUGCUGGCUUUGGAGACGGAGGAAGGAGCUGGAGCCAAUGAUGCGGUUGGCCUCUGGAAACCAAGAACAGCCCCAAACAGCUCAUGGAACCCAGGGCCUUGAGACUGCACGCAACUGAUUUCUGACAACAGCCUGAAGGAGCUUGAAAGAGAUUCAUCCGCAGAGCUUCUGGAGAGGGCUGCAGCCCUGAGCCAGGUCUCCUGGACGCUCAGCAGAGAGGCAUCUGAGCCGCGCUGUGCUGGGCUUCUGACCUACAGAAACUGUGAGAGGAUGCAUUUGCGUUGUUCUGAUCAUUGAAUUUCUGGUGAUUCGUUACGGCAGCAAUAGAAAGUUAAUACUCGUGGUAUACUGAUGCUGCUGGACCACAAUGUGAGAAUCGCUGGCUUGUCUGGUAUGUGCAAACUGACGUGCAGUCAGCAAAGACGGAGGUGAGAUACGGACCUGGGUGGAACGACUCUAGGCGGGACCUAAGCUCUUGUUUGCUGUUGACUUCACAUGAUAAAACUGAGUAACCAGCUUGCACAUCUGAUGGACGGCAGAGCUGGGCUGGUCCCCGUGUCUUCAGUCUCUUCUAGUUCUUCCUGGACAUCUUGGGAUAAGGAGGAUGUUGGUCAAGAGAGGAUGUAGAUUUGUUGGAAUCAUCAGAGGAGACUGAGAAUCUCCAAGUACCGAAGUGGAGGACGACGGUGCGAGCCAGAGAGCUUAGACGACAGACAGACGUGUGGUUCCCCUGGUCUGGGAGCUGCACAGCACCAGGCUGUCUGGAGGCCGUGACAGGGGAGGAAGGGACCCUGGUGGCCCAAGAGUGGAAGCGCCCGCCAUGCUGCAGAAGACUUCUCCUUUCUGGCCUGUUGUGCAGUGUCUUCAUUCUCAAUAAAUACACAAUUUGACCUUACACGUGA